AGUCACUGACAUUAGAUACCCCGGUAGUCCCAGCCGUAAACUAUGCGCGUUAGGUGUAUCGGUGACCACGAGUUACCGAGGUGCCGAAGGGAAACCGUGAAACGUGCCGCCUGGGAAGUACGGUCGCAAGGCUGAAACUUAAAGGAAUUGGCGGGGAGCACCACAACAGGUGGAGCCUGCGGUUUAAUUGGAUUCAACGCCGGACAUCUCACCGGAUAAGACAGCUGAAUGAUUGUCAAUCUGAAGGUUUUACAUGACUAGCUG
rnacentral:rRNA from 1 species